AGCAGCAUCACUUCGUCCUUUCUGCCAAGUGGAUAGCUUUCAGCGUAUUCCCAAGUAUUUGAAAGUGCCUUUCAGCGUGUUCAAGUUGUACACUUGGUAAUAACCAGAAGCAACUUGUGCGUGUUAAUUCACGCGGCAAGAGCGGAGAAAAGAGGUCUGCGAUUGGUUAAAUUACUAAGACAGCAGGACUCCCCAGCAAGGAGAAGAAGCUGUUAGUCAAAACAAACAUGGAAAACCUUUUGACAAUUGUAACAUAUUUCUUGUUCAAGUA
rnacentral:lncRNA from 1 species